AUUAAACGCUGGCGGCAUGCCUUACACAUGCAAGUCGAACGGCAGCACGGGGGCGAACCCUGGUGGCGAGUGGCGGACGGGUGAGUAAAGCAUCGGAACGUAUCCUGGAGUGGGGGAUAACGUAGCGAAAGUUACGCUAAUACCGCAUAUUCUGUGAGCAGGAAAGCAGGGGAUCGCAAGACCUUGCGCUCUGGGAGCGGCCGAUGUCGGAUUAGCUAGUUGGUGGGGUAAAGGCCUACCAAGGCGACGAUCCGUAGCGGGUCUGAGAGGAUGAUCCGCCACACUGGAACUGAGACACGGUCCAGACUCCUACGGAGGCAGCAGUGGGGAAUAUUGGACGAAUGGGCGAAGCCUGAUCCAGCCAUGCCGCGUGUGUG
rnacentral:rRNA from 1 species